rnacentral:rRNA from 1 species
AUGGCUCAGGUUGGCCCCCAUGUAGCUCCGCCACUGGCUGAGUGUUGGCCAACUAAAAGGCGACAUGUUCAACAAUUAGGUGUGACGGAGAUGCGCAUGUUGAGAUGGAUGUGUGGCCACACAAGGAAGGACCGAGUCUGGAAUGAUGAUAUACGAGAUAGAGUUGGGGUAGCACCGAUUGAAGAGAAGCUUGUCCAACAUCGUCUGAGAUGGUUUGGGCAUAUUCAGCGCAGGCCUCCAGAAGCGCCAGUGCAUAGCGGAUGGCUAAAGCAUGCUGAUUAUGUCAAGAGAGGUUGGGGUAGACCGAACUUGACAUGGGAGGAGUCGGUCAAGAGAGAUCUGAAGGACUGGAGAUCACCAGAGAACUAG